ensembl:snoRNA U8 U8 small nucleolar RNA
UCAUCAGGUGAGAUAAUCCUUACCUGUUCAUCCUUUUGAAGGGCAGAUACAAAAUGAUGACUGGAGUUCACAUGAUGUGUGAUUAGCGCCUCUGAGUAAUCAGGACUUGCAACACUCUGGUUUGUCGUAUCUGAU